AGUAGAAGAAGACAUAAGAGAAAAAAACCAGAGAGAUGACAGCAUGAGAAAGACUACACCAGCCCCUUCUAGUUUGAUGAUAACAAGAAAAAGCCACAUGCCAAGGAACGCAGACAGCCUUUAAAAGCUGGAAGAGAAAUUCUGGUGAAAAUAUGCAUUUUAAGAAGAAUAAGUAGAAAUAAAAUGAGAAAUCCACAGUGCUGA
rnacentral:lncRNA from 1 species